rnacentral:pre_miRNA from 1 species
AACACUACUCAAGAAUUAUACAAUACCCACGACCUCACACUUAUUUUCAAACGGGUUUAUCACACUGUGCUACAAUUUAACGCUUCAAGUUCCUAACUUGGAACCUUACACUUCUUUUAACACUUAGCGCAUAAACACUUUUCUCAAGGUAAACAUCAGUCGAGUUAUUGUAUAAUUCACAACUCACAAC